AAGCAGGGAACUAGAGCAGCCCAGCCAACCAGACUUACCGGCCCUAUCUGCAAAGCUGCACAGCACUGUGUAUGAGCCACACAGCCUUGAGCAGGGAGCCCCACCUCUCCAUGCCGGUUUCCUCAUCAGUGAAGCUGGGGAUGACAGUCCUUGUCUCUGCACUUUGGAGUAUAUCCAAGAGAUCGCUGGCUGCCGAACUGUCCCAGUGGAAGUUGGUUCGAGGUACACAGAUGAGGAAUGGUCCCAGACCCUCAUGACGGUCAACGAGUUCAUCAGCAAAUACAUCGUGAAUGAGCCAAGGGACGUCGGGUACCUUGCUCAGCACCAGCUCUUUGACCAGAUCCCGGAGUUGAAGCAGGACAUCAGCAUCCCCGACUACUGCAGCCUGGGCGAUGGGGAGGAGGAGGAAAUCACCAUCAAUGCCUGGUGAUGGGGAGGAAGUACAUCCAGCUGUAUUCCCCGCAGGAGUCAGGGGCUCUGUACCCUCAUGACACGCACCUUCUCCAUAACACGAGCCAGGUGGGCACUGGGGGUCUGGGGUGACGUUGCAGGUUCUCCCCACUGCCCCUGCAGAUGAUGACGUCCUUUGCUUUCUUCAGGUUGACGUGGAGAAUCCCGACCUGGAAAAGUUCCCCAAGUUUGCCAAGGCCCCAUUCCUGUCCUGCAUCCUGUCUCCUGGAGAGAUCCUGUUCAUCCCGGUGAAAUACUGGCAUUACGUGCGGGCUCUGGAUUUGAGCUUCUCGGUCAGCUUCUGGUGGUCGUAGCCAGGAUAGGAGCUGAAAGGGCCUGACAUGCAGACAGCAUUCAUCUGUUCACUAAUUUCCUGGGUCCUGGAAUCUAUAGAGACAAGCAGGACUGAACCUGUGUCCUGAAGAGCCUUCACUGCCCAGUGGCAGCCCUGGGGGGCUGAGCUCCAGCACUGGACAGGCACAGAGUGGGGGCUGCCCAGGAAGGAGCACACUCCAGGCCAGGGGUGCAUGGCAGAGGAAGGUGGCGAGAGCCCAGAAGGACACUGCAGGCAGACAGCCUGCAUGGGGACUCUGGCAUCAGAAAGCCUAAUGUUUUUGGGAAACGGGUGGGUCACACGGGCAGGGGUGAAACAUGGGCUCUGAGGUUGG
rnacentral:sRNA from 1 species